rnacentral:lncRNA from 1 species
AAAAGAUGGAAGGAACAAGAGGUGGAAGCAAGCUCCCUGCAUAUGAACAAUCAAGAGUUAGGCUCGUAGCAGACAUGAAUUGGUAAACUCGAGCACCUCUCUUUGAAAGUGAUGCAUACGAUUAGUUAGUUUUCUAAUUACUAGGGAAAAUAAACUUGUUGCGGGCUGAAGAACUUGGCUAUGACCCACAGAGAGAUGAAAUAUUUGUUAGAGCACAUACACAUAAAAUUGGAGUUCCUACCGCACAAGCAGACACUAAUUGGUAGCCACACAUACACAUCAUGUGUUUUCUUUAGUACAACCAUGCACGUGACUGCAUAUCAAUCGAUGAGAAGUAUAGACUGCACUGACUUAAUUGUAGAACUAAAUUAGGUACCUCAUUUGCUGUAUUUUUUCCAGAACAACCUGAAGAAGCAGCUGAACCGCCAACAACACUUGCAAUGGAAAUUAAAUUUCAUUGACAAGAUGAACAUGUUUCUACUCUACUAGAGCUCACGGAACAAAUGCAACGAAAAAUUGGAGAGAUGCAUCAAGUUCUCUUUUCUCAAGGAAUCGGAAAUGUCGAAAUACCAGGUAUUGUUCUUGUCAACUUUUUUCCAUGAGAUGACAUUGCUAUGUUUUGUUUGAUACUUAGGUCAGGAAGACAGGUUCAGAAUUGGGAAAAGGGUCCUGGAUUUGAACUAAACACUAUUAUUUUUCUUAUGGGACAUCUUUGUAUUUUUCUUGAAGGUUUCAUGCGUCAUAACUAAACACAUAUAGUUCAAUUUGUAGUGUCAUUAUAAAUAGAUAAUGCAUCAGGCUACUAGAUAUCUAGCUUCUAUCAGAAAUAGAUAAGAACUGAGGGCAUGAUAAGGUGAUACUAAAUCUGGGUUAUAGCAGAACAUAGAAUUUUUGGUUUCUAUGUUUAUAUGUGUGCAGCGCAGCCCCCAUUAUCAUGCAAACAAUAUCAAGUUAUGAGGCUUGAUCUUGGAAGCUAGCAGAAAUGUGUAAUUUAGUACACAAGCUCUGAAUGUUUGCUUGCAUAUUUGUUCAAAUAUGGUGAGUGGUACAAUUGUCCGUCAGUGUGCAAUUCCUAGUAGCUAAAUUGAAGCCUGCUCUCUUUUAAAGAGCAGCCACAAAAAAAUACUUGACCGCUAUUUUUAGGGAAGCAUAUUUAGUUCAAUCCACAUAUUAGGAUUACACCUGACUCCUUUUUUGCAACAUAGAUUCCGGAAUACAUUCCUGACCUCGCACAUCCAAUCACCGGUCUGAUCUUGUUGUCCAAUGACCGAGAGUUCUGAGACGAAUGCGUGGCACUCCUCAGGAAACAUAGGUGAGAAUAAGAUGAUCUUGCACUCAUUUUUUAAUUAUCUUUUCCCUAUAGACAUCUACGUAUAAUAUUGGCACUAGGUUAAUGUAAUUUCUAUUGUAUUCAUGUUGUAAAGAAUGGCUUCAACAUCACAGGAUGUGCAAUAAUAAGAGAAAAUUUAGCAUCCACUAUACAGAGAAAAUUCCAUAUCAAAUGUACUUAAACACACUAUAUGUUCAAAUUUGAACCUGUUUGUCAAUGUAUUUCUUGUUUUGCUUCUGGUGGUGCUUGAUUGCACCCCUCUUCUUUUGUCGCUGUUUAUCACCCCCUUGUUGUAGUCUUUUCCCUCCACUAUAU